rnacentral:rRNA from 1 species
UACGGAGGGGGCUAGCGAUCUUCGGAAUUACGGGGCGUAAAGCGCACGUCGGCGGAUCAGAAAGUCAUAGGUGAAAUCCCAGGGCUCAACCUUGGAACUGCCUUUGAAACUCCUGAUCUUGAGGUCGAGAGAGGUGAGGGGAAUUCCGAGUGUAGAGGUGAAGUUCGUAGAUAUUCGGAGGAACACCAGUGGCGAAGGCGGCUCACUGGCUCGAUGCUGACGCUGAGGUGCGAAAGCGUGGCGAGCAAACAGG